rnacentral:misc_RNA from 1 species
UCUCCGUUGGUGAACCAGCGGAGGGAUCAUUACCGAGUUUACAAACUCCCAAACCCUUUGUGAACCUUACCAUAUUGUUGCUUCGGCGGGACCGCCCCGGCGCCUUCGGGCCCGGAACCAGGCGCCCGCCGGAGGAAUCCAAAAAACCAUCGCUUUCAGUACUAACCUCUCUGAGUUACUGUACUUUUAAUCAAGUCAAAACUUUCAACAACGGAUCUCUUGGUUCUG